rnacentral:rRNA from 1 species
UACGUAGGGUGCGAGCGUUGUCCGGAAUUAUUGGGCGUAAAGGGCUCGUAGGCGGUUUGUCGCGUCGGGAGUGAAAACACCGGGCUUAACUCGGUGCUUGCUUUCGAUACGGGCAGACUAGAGGCAUGCAGGGGAGAACGGAAUUCCUGGUGUAGCGGUGAAAUGCGCAGAUAUCAGGAGGAACACCAGUGGCGAAGGCGGCACUCUGGGCCGGUACUGACGCUGAGGAGCGAAAGCUAGGGGAGCAAACGGG